rnacentral:rRNA from 1 species
UACGAAGGGGGCUAGCGUUGUUCGGAAUUACUGGGCGUAAAGCGCGCGCAGGCGGUCUUCCAAGUCAGUGGUGAAAGCCCGGAGCUCAACUCCGGAACUGCCAUUGAAACUGUUGGACUUGAGUAUGAGAGAGGUGAGUGGAAUUCCCAGUGUAGAGGUGAAAUUCGUAGAUAUUGGGAAGAACACCGGUGGCGAAGGCGGGUCUCUGGGCCGAUACUGACGCUGAGGAGCGAAAGCGUGGGGAGCGAACAGG